GUCCAGGGUAGCCUAGUGGACAUGGCAUCUGCCCAGUAAGAGGAACACUGUGGGUUCUAUUCCCAUCCCUGGGCA
rnacentral:tRNA from 1 species